rnacentral:lncRNA from 10 species
UAGUUUUAGUAGAAUCGGGGUUUCACCUUGUUAGCCAGGGUGGUGGAGCCCGGCCCCGUCGCCAUUCCUUAAAGGGGCUGCAACCUGACUUAACAGGAGCGGAGCGCAAGUCGGCCUAGCCAAUGCGCAUGCGCGGUGCACGAGCUGAUUUCUCAAGGCACAGUGACUCCCACCGUCGCUCGAGUGAUGGGUCCAUGAGGCUGGGCGAAGCAGGAGCCCACUGUGGCAGUGCGUCGGUAUCGAGGCUCCAGCCUGACCUCUCCCAGGGGUCAACAGGAUGGUCUCCGGACGCCAGGAGUCGCGGAGGGCCGACCAGGUUUGUGAAGGCCGGUUCGACCUGGGGAGCUGCGUUGGUCCCACAGGGAUUGAAACCUCCCCAUCCUGAGCGUCCUACUUUCGAGGAUCAAGACAACCACACCACACCCAAGGACCAAAGCCUCCCAGGAGCUUAUUGUCCUGCAGGAGUGCGUGCAGACCAACAUCAAAGAAGAUGGUUCUAACUCCUCCCACCUCCCACCUUCUCCUCUCAUUAAGAAAUGUAGCCCCACCGCGACAGUCUUGGAGAAGAAGCCGGGAACGGGACGCGGCAAGGAUCUCUGUGACUUAAAUCUGGCCUUUCUGGCCCAGUCUCCCAUUUGGCACUUCUUCCUGGAUGCGCAUGGUAGUGGCAUUGUGCUGUAUCCUGCCUGGGCUGUGGCC